AGAUUCAGGGGUGCUCUCCAGGCUUGAACAUUAACUGUGUUCCUCUCCCCCAAACUCCACGGUCUCAGCUCUGUUAGGGGGAAAUAGCAAUCCACUUCCACUCCUCCCCCACAGACACAUGGACAGCAGCAACCAUUCCUGGAAAGUAGCAUGCGGGGGCCAGAAGUAGGAGACCGGGGUCAUUUCACCUCCUGAAGACAGGAGCAGCUCUGGUGGCUAGUGGUGACGAGUCGGGCGGCUAAUCUGAAGGUCACCCACUCACUGGAGAAAAGGGAGGCUUUCGAUUCUCAUGAAGUUCCAGUCUGGGAAUCCCCAGGGGCAGUUGUACCCUGUCCUGUAGGGUCUCUGUGAGUCAGAACCAACCUGGUGGCCGUGAGCCUGAGCACUGAAAACAGGUAAAAGGGGAAGACCGUCUUGAAGACGCGUUGACACAGGGCUAGAACAACGGGCUCACACGUAAAAACAACUGUGUGGAUGGCGCAGAACCGGGCAGUGUUUGGUUCUGUGGUACCUGGACUUUGCUCAUCCUUCAGUCAGUCAGCAUGCCAAUGUCCUCAAACAUGGAAGUGCAUCCCAUGAUACUCCCAGGAGGCUCUCUGGGUUUGAAUUUCAUGUGCCACAGUGAGUAUCUUAGAACAAUGCUGCACGUCUCUAGGUGUUAACGGCAAACUUGCACGUGCUUUUCUUACACCCUUCACUCGGUAGCCAGCACUGAAAAGCAGCAGGCUUUUCAACUCACAAGAUGCAUCCACCCACCAGAAUAAGCCCGCUUUCCUGUCACAUACUGUUCCCCGAGUGGGAGUCCUCAGAGCCCCAAGGGAGAUAGCUGGGUGCUGUCCUUCAGUUUCUGGGCUUGUCAGAGCUGCGCUUUGCUUGGGCAACAGGGCAAAAGCUCAAUGGGCCCCAGACAAUGCCUUUCUGACCCAGCAGUGCCCACUGGUGCCCACACACUAUGUGAGCGUGCAUAAGGACUUCAGCAGGGUGUGGUGUUUCCUGGCACAACAGGGUGACUUGCAUUGCGGAGAAAGGUUUCUUUCUUGUCUUGUGGCCCGGUCCUGAGAACACAGGAGAGAAAGCUCGCCCUGGGGAGGCAGGUCCCCGGCAUGUCCCUGGCACAACAUUACUUCACAGCCUCAAGAAAGCCCCAUUCUUCUGUGGCCUCCACUCCUAAUCGCUAAGAUAGCUCGCCUUGCCCGUGAAUUUUUACAGGGUUCUUAAACCCAACCAUCCUGUGAAUUAAACCUCAAGAACUAAUUUAGGAUGAAAAUGCAGAUGAAGACACUUAGGUAAUUAAAUCAGCUUUUCAUAGUGGGGAGAAUCUGGAAAUAUAUGUCUCCUGGCCCCCCCAGCCCUCCAGUAUGGGACUGGGUGAAGUGGAUCAUGCCUCAUCCUGUGGAUGGGAUAUUUUGCUGCCACCAAAAUGUUUGGGGGAGAUUUUUUAAGCACAGGGUGAAAUCAUCACGAAAUAACAUUAAGUAAAAACAAAAAACACCACCAGGAGGCAAAAUCAGAUACAAUGUAGUCUUAACUAUGUCUUACCACCUGUGCUAUCUUUUGAAUACUCCCUUUCCCCACCACCCCUACACACACAAACAAGUUCAGAAGAAAAUAUAUCAAGUGUUGGUGAUAAACUAUAUCAAGUGGUGGUACUGUUUCUCAGUAGGGAGAUUAUAUGUGAGCUUUGCUUUAUUCUUUAUCUUUCGUUUUGUUUACCACUCCUUCAAAAGGAACUGUAAGAUCUGGAGGGGGUGGAGAGGGGAUAGUUCCUCUAAAAACAGAAAUUUUGAAAAAAAAUAGAAAUUUUGGAUGGGGCUAGAUGAUUUCUACAUUUCUUUACAAUUCUAAACCUAUUCCAUUUAUGAGCCAAGGGAACAAACAUCUCAAGGUAAAAGGUGGGCUUUGCUAUUUCCAGCAAUAGUUGCUCCUGGAGAAGAAGGCAUUCCAAGCCUUGAUCUCGUUCCCACCAGGGUCAGACUGUGAGAAACGGGCAGGCCUAGGUUACAAGGAUACAAGAAGCCAUUCCAGGAACCCAAACAUGACUGCUCUGCUUCCUGGCACAGCAGUCCACGGUCCUUGCAACAUCCUUCUUCAACAUCAUCGUUCCAACACAUGGACUCUUCUUUGGUCUUCCGUAUUCGAUGUCCGACUGUCACCUGCAUGUGAGAGAAACCCCUGUGGCAUCCCCAGACAACAUCACCUCCUGAGUUGGCAUCUCCGCCUUGUGGAUGCCCUCGAAAGGCGCCGCCUUCACCGCACUUUCCUGCCGAAGGCUCCCCGUGAGGCGCGGGCAAGUGCACGGCCGAGAGGACUUGUCUGCAGCUGCCUGCUGACUACAGAGCACUAACAGCUUAUUGGCAACAGACCCGAACAUGGGGGAGCUGGGACCUCAUGCAAGGCCUUUGGACACUCGUAAGCACAGCGUUGCAGCACGUUUGUGGCCGGAAGUAAGUGGAUACUGGCCUGGCCUGCAAGGCGGGGAUGAGGAUUGUGCUGAGAAGGAGGAUGUGCCCCUCGCAGGGUGAUUAUAUAUGAUGCGAGAAUAUUCCCAGAGUUUGCAUGUACAAGAGGCAAAGUUGUAAAGACAUGGUGGCUCUUUGGCAGGAGAUAAGUAGUGGCACCGAGCAAGGCAGGGUGAGGUCAGUCAGGGCAGCCUCUCAACCUCCCCAGAGGUUGUGGGUCUGUACGCCAGGUGGAAGAUCCCACGUAGGGAUCGUUUUGAGAAACCUGCAGGCACAGGAGUUUUUGCUCUAAGACCUAUUGAAGUAGGAUUGCAUUCCUUCAACUUAGCAAGCAGAGACGGGCAGUGCCAGC